CUGGGAUCCAUUCUGGAGGGGCGUGACUGACAGUGGCUGGUUACCUACGCACCUGCAGGUCGUUUAUCAUCAAGAGGGGUAUAAGCAAGAGGGGCAGCCAACACUUCUUUGCCAGAGUGUUUUGCCAGUAAUGAUACUCAAGGCCUCCUGAGCUCCUUGUGAUUUUGUUUCUCGUGAGAAAUUCCCUAGUGRUCUUUKUGUGUCCUCUCUUCAGGUGAUCCAUUGUGACGCCAUGACUGAUUCCCACUAACAGUCUGAAUACUGGCAGUUUCCCUGUGCUCCAUUCAUCUCGUGACGCUGUGGGCCUUACCCACUGGAAGCCCGAGUUCCACAUGCCUCCAAGCCGUUGAACCAAACCUCUCUGGAUUCCUCUGUUGGCUGGCCCCUUACUCCUCCGACCUGAAAGGCAGAACUGUUACCUGUCCGCCCUCCACCGUGAUAUCUCUCCCGUCGCUGUUCCCCGCCGACUCACAGCCUACCUACUCUUGUUGAACGCCACCCCUGGUAACCUCAGUAUUUCCCUCCUGCAUACUACGUCCUCCAUCCAACGUUCCCAAUUCCAGAAGCCGCAAGCUCUUGGAUCUGCAGUUUUGAUUAUUUUGUUUUUUUUAUUAAACAUAUUUAACUGA